rnacentral:piRNA from 1 species
UACAUUGGCUCAAGUGCUCUGUAACU